GCCUCAUUUGCUUUUGCUUCUUCUAAGUCAGUCCUUAAACGUUUUUCCAAUUGUAAGCGCCAAGUGAGUUCCUCUACUUGUUUCUCAAGUUUAUUUUUGGCCUCCUUUAGUGCACCAGUUUCCCUUGCUGCCAUUUUAAGCUUCCUAAGCUCCCUCCUGGCAACUCUUCCCCUCCAUCUGGUUUGCGAGACAAUUGCUCCUUUCUUGAGCCUAUUGUAGUAGGAAACAGCUCUAUGACAGCGCCACCGGGUCUGAAUAGU
rnacentral:misc_RNA from 1 species